rnacentral:pre_miRNA from 1 species
AAAUUACUCCCUCCGUCCGAAAAUACUUGUCAUAAAAAUGGAUAAAAAAGGAUGUAUCUAGAACUAAUAUACAUCUAGAUACAUCCCUUUUUAUUCAUUUUGAUGACAAGUAUUUCCGGACGGAGGGAGUACGUA